CAAAAUAAUAAAAAUAGUUCGCACGAAAACGACUAAAACGGACGUGAUUUCAUAAUUUGUUUUGAUUUAUAGUUCAUAUUUUUCGUUGACUGUGGCUAUUCGCGAUGUGCAAUUAACUUUUAUAAGUUAUUUAGUCGCCGGUUGGAGCAGAACUUAGACGACUAUCCGGAGUCCGGAGCAGUUCAAGAGUAGGUUAUCACCUCAAUUCAUUUGAGGAUCCUGCAGGAAUAAAAAAAAUCCGGUCACGGAUUUUCGGUUGAGAUUCAUGAUCAAGAUACCGAAUCCGGAAACUGCUUAACAACCUCCGAAGCUGGUAAAGAAUACUUUCUCAAUCCAUUCGUCGUGCCCGGAGAUGCAAGUUGUCACGUUUGUGGAGACUAAAAAGCCGCUACAGAUUCUGGUUUGGCGAACCGCGUCCCAACCUUGGCUGCAAUACUUUUUUGUUGGUCAUCUCGCAGACGUGGCUAACUGCGAGAUUGGAGAACGAACCGAUAUCAGAAUGUGGAAAGCUCAAUCCGGAACCAUCAAUGGAACAACAUCAUGGAAUAUCAGGAACGGCGAUAAAAAUCUAUCCGAAAGUGGAUGAGCGAUUUUCAAUUGUUUAAAUGUCUAUAGGCUGGAAUGAAACUGCUAGAAAUGCUACGAGAAAGAAGGAUAGGAUAAACUCAACUGCGAGGGAUUAGAAAAUGGCCAGCAUUUUUCACCAUCAAG